rnacentral:misc_RNA from 1 species
CAUGAAACCAAAUUAAUUGAGAGAGAUAGAAGUAUCAUAACGUAGUCGAUGCUCCACAACUCUUUCCCACAACUCUCUCCCAUGCUGAAAUAAAAUUCUGGACCUUAGUUUUUGUUCAUUUUCUUUAUGGUAUGAUGUCAUAAUUAAACCAUGACCUUGCUGUUUGCCAUGGUAACUGGUGAGGCAACUUAUUUAAUCUUUGUUUUGUCCGUACUAUGGUUCAUUUUUUGUCUCAAUUGUAUUGUUCUAUUAUACCUUUUCAUUUUAUGCUCCUUACUAUGACCUUAAUUUACUGUUUCAGAUCAUCUUCUUGUAUUAUUUUUGUUUUCCCUUUUAUUUUCUUUAUUAGGCUGAGAUAAUCAUAGUUAUUAAAAGCGCGUCUCAGGCUCAAGGCUCACCAGGCU